GAAUAUGAAGCGAUCGAUUGCAAUUAGUUUCG
rnacentral:tRNA from 1 species